CAGCCGCCGCGGUAAUACGAAGGGGGCUAGCGUUGUUCGGAAUUACUGGGCGUAAAGCGCGUGUAGGCGGCUCAGCAAGUCCGCUCUGAAAGCCCAGGGCUCAACCCUGGGAUGCGGGUGGAUACUGCUGAGCUCGAGUCCGGAAGAGGCGAGUGGAAUUCCUGGUGUAGCGGUGAAAUGCGCAGAUAUCAGGAGGAACACCAAUGGCGAAGGCAGCUCGCUGGGACGUGACUGACGCUGAGACGCGAAAGCGUGGGGAGCAAACAGGAUUAGAUACCCGAGUAGUCCCUGUCUCUUAUAU
rnacentral:rRNA from 1 species